GUCCCGGUAGCUCAGCAGGAUAGAGCAGCGGUUUCCUAAACCGCAGGCCACUGGUUCGAAUCCAGUCCGGGACACCA
rnacentral:tRNA from 1 species